AUAUGUUUCUUGGAGCUUUGCAAAUCCUAGUAGUAGAGAGCAACAGAGAAGGCAGUUUGUCAGCUCUCUGGUAAUGGCAGUUAGAACAGGGAACAUGGCUGAAUGCCUGUAAAGUAAUUGAAGUCAUUUCUCAUAAGCUGUUUGUGACUUCUGUUGUGAUGAACACUAGACUACAGUAUUCAAAUGAACGGAAAAUGGAAGUGUUUGUCUCUCUCUGUGUCUCAAAGUCUGUCUUUAGGGCUUUGGGUAGUAAAGACUUUAGUGUCUGAGUGUCUCCUAUUAUUUAAAGUGAAGGCAGAGCAAAGCUCCACAGCAUGUAAACCAUAACGUUUAGCCCAGAGAUACAAUUAAGGUCAUUUUGCAGAUUGUCAGCCACAGAGCCUUGUUGACUGAAGAUGCAAUAAGAAUGUCUUACAUUUUUUAUUAGAAGAAAGUCGCAUUAUCUAAGCCUGUUGUGAAUGGGGCCGAUUAUACCCACGUCUGUGUUGCAAUCACUCACAACAAAGACAUUGCACGACACUACCAAGCUUUUUAUUUAAAUAAUGUUAUGGAGUAUUCUAUUAAACUUUUAUUCAACUGUCUAUUUCUAUUCAUUGGAACAUAUUGUGAAUGGUAGCUCUUCAAUGAAAUCCAGUUUUCUCCCAUUCCUCCAGUCACCUAUGUGGUGGUACCAGAUGGGCCGAUGCCCACCACCCUGGUCUCUCUCCUGGGUCUCCUGAUCGGCUGCUGGGUCCUCAACUUCAGCUGUCUGCGUCCCAAAUGGCAUCCUUUUCCCUGCCUCCUACUGUGGGUUAUCCUUCCAGAACUUCAGCUGGGUAGAGGUGUGCCUUUAGACAGAUGGCUGGAUGGCCAAGAAUAACCAUGAAGCAG
rnacentral:lncRNA from 1 species